AACGUGCCCAGUCGUGGGGGAUAACGUAGAGAAAUUUACGCUAAUACCGCAUACGAUCUACGGAUGAAAGCGGGGGAUUCGCAAGAACCUCGCGCGAUUGGAGCGGCUGAUAUCAGAUUAGGUUGUUGGUGAGGUAAAAGCUCACCAAGCCGACGAUCUGUAGCUGGUUUGAGAGAACGACCAGCCACACUGGGACUGAGACACGGCCCAGACUCCUACGGGAGGCAGCAGUGGGGAAUUUUGGACAAUGGGCGAAAGCCUGAUCCAGCAAUGCCGCGUGUGG
rnacentral:rRNA from 1 species